rnacentral:rRNA from 1 species
GUGAGACAGGUGCUGCAUGGCUGUCGUCAGCUCGUGUUGUGAAAUGUUGGGUUAAGUCCCGCAACGAGCGCAACCCUUAUCCUUUGUUGCCAGCGGUCCGGCCGGGAACUCAAAGGAGACUGCCAGUGAUAAACUGGAGGAAGGUGGGGAUGACGUCAAGUCAUCAUGGCCCUUACGACCAGGGCUACACACGUGCUACAAUGGCGCAUACAAAGAGAAGCGACCUCGCGAGAGCAAGCGGACCUCAUAAAGUGCGUCGUAGUCCGGAUUGGAGUCUGCAACUCGACUCCAUGAAGUCGGAAUCGCUAGUAAUCGUGGAUCAGAAUGCCACGGUGAAUACGUUCCCGGGCCCUGUACACACCGCCCGUCACACCAUGGGAGUGGGUUGCAAAAGAAGUAGGUAGCUUAACCUUCGGGAGGGCGCUUACCACUUUGUGAUUCAUGACUGGGGUGAAGUCGUAACAAGGUAACCGUAGGGGAACCUGCGGUUGGAUCACCUC